AGCAAUUUAUUUUUGCCGAGUCAUCAUAUGUGCAUCUAUAUUGAACAAGUCAAUUGGUCGAGGGAGAGCAAUUAAGAUUGUAAUCAAAUUUUAAGAUAGAGCCGGUUAUUUCUGCCUGUUCUUCAGUCAAGCUGGUUGAUGCCCUCGAUCGAAAAAGAUUCCAAUGUAUGAACGUUUUAUGCCGUCGUAUAUCAAUUGCUAAUUUUUACUCGGAUUUUUGCUCAUAACUUUUUCACGCAAAGCAUUAACGGCUUGCCACUGUCCAAAUGGUAGUAAAGGAGUUGAACGCUUUUAUCACUGCUUUCCUCAUGAGACGUUUUGUGGAUAUGUGUACAAACUACAUGAUGGUGUUUGCUGCAUCUGAGAACGACUGUGUGAUAAAAAAUUAGCAUAUUAAAACUAAAAAAAAUAGUUAUGUUAUUUGCUCUUGUUAUUUGAUGUAAUAUUAAAUUAUUUGAAAUGUAAA